rnacentral:rRNA from 1 species
GAUGAAUGCUGGCGGCGUGCCUAACACAUGCAAGUCGAGCGGCAGCGAGUUUUACACUGAAUUCUGGAAGCUUCUGAGUAGUACAGAAGAUUUAUUCAAGAGUUUUGUGUAAAAUGUCGGCGAGCGGCGGACGGCUGAGUAACGCGUAGGAAUUUGCCCCAAAGGGAGGAAUACCUGCCCGAAAGGGUAGCUAAUGCCGCAUAUGGUCUUCGGAUUAAAGCCUUCGGGCGCUUUAGGAGAAGCCUGCGUUGGAUUAGGUAGUUGGUAGGGUAAUGGCCUACCAGGCGGACGAUCGACAGCUGGUCUGAGAGAAUGAGCAGACAGACUGGAACUGAGACACGGUCCAGAAUCUUACGGGAGGGAGCAGUGAGGAAUCUACCAAAGUGGGCGAAAGCAUGAUGGAGCAACGCCGCGUGAAGGAUGAAGGUCGUCGAGUAGUAAACUUCUUUUAUGAGUGAAGAAUAUGACGGUACCUCAUGAAUAAGCACCGGCUAACUACGUG